UGCUCUGCUUGUUUUUUGUUAAAAGUUUCUCGGAUUAUUAUAGUGAGUGGUGCUUUUUGUGUGUAUCCUUUUGGAUAAAGAAAGACAGCGGAAAGACAGAGAGAGAGAGAGAGAGCAGCACUGGAAAGGCAUGAAUGUCAACCAUAGGACGUCAGAGACAUGGAAACCAAAAACAAGGCAUACGAAGGACAGCGGAAAGACAGAGAGAGAGCAGCGUUGCAAGGGCAUGCGUUUUGGCUACAGAAUGACAGAGACAUGGAAACCAAAAACAAGGCAUACGAAGGGU